AACGUAGGACACGAGCGUUAUCCGGAGUUACUGGGCGUAAAGGGCGCGUAGGCGGCGUGUCAAGUCAGGCGUGAAAGCCCCGGGCUCAACCUGGGAACCGCGCUUGAGACUGGCAUGCUCGAGUUCGGGAGAGGAUGGUGGAAUUCCCAGUGUAGAGGUGAAAUUCGUAGAUAUUGGGAAGAACACCGAUGGCGAAGGCAGCCAUCUGGACCGACACUGACGCUGAGGCGCGAAAGCGUGGGGAGCAAACAGG
rnacentral:rRNA from 1 species